rnacentral:sRNA from 1 species
ACAAAAAACGAAAAAAAC